GUCAACCAGAACGCAGGAAGGAUCCCAGAGCAUCAAAACUUCUGCCACUGCAGUGAAAGAUAUUCAUUAGACAAAACAAGAAAUCCAGGGUAAAAGAUGAAGAUUUUAUUGAUACUCCUUCUGGUAGCUAGUGUAGCCACAACCAUGAUGACUGCGGCCCCAACCACAACCACCACUACUCCAAUACCAACCACUGCUGUAACAACCACUGCUGCAACUACAACAGCUACGGCUGCUUCAACAACAACCAUAUCUGUUCUGACAACAACCACAGACCUUCCAACUACAACCACAGUUUCUCCAACAACAACAGCUGCUUCAGCAACAACCACCGCUGCUCCUACAACAGCCACCACAGCUGCUUCAACAACAACCACUGUUCUUCCAACAACAACCUCAGUUUCUCCAACAACAACAGCUGCUUCAGCAACAACCACCGCUGCUCCCACA